UACGUAGGGCGCAAGCGUUGUCCGGAAUUAUUGGGCGUAAAGAGCUCGUAGGCGGUUUGUCGCGUCUGCUGUGAAAACUCGAGGCUCAACCUCGGGCUUGCAGUGGGUACGGGCAGACUAGAGUGCGGUAGGGGUGACCGGGAAUUCCUGGUGUAGCGGUGGAAUGCGCAGGAUAUCAGGAGGAACACCGAUGGCGAAGGCAGGUC
rnacentral:rRNA from 1 species